CCUACGGGAGGCAGCAGUGGGGAAUAUUGCACAAUGGGGGAAACCCUGAUGCAGCGACGCCGCGUGAGUGAAGAAGUAAUUCGGGAUGUAAAGCUCUAUCAGCAGGGAAGAAAAUGACGGUACCUGAGUAAGAAGGCCCGGCUAACGACGUGCCAGCAGCCGCGGUAAUACGUAGGGGGCAAGCGUUAUCCGGAUUUACUGGGUGUAAAGCGGGCGUAGGGUGUUUCGUAAGUCGGGUGUGAAAGGCUCGGGCUCAACCGGCGGACGGCACAUGAUACGGCGAGACUAGAGUACUGGAGGGGUAACCGGAAUUCUCGGUGUAGCCGUGAACUGCGUAGAUAUCGCGAGGAACACUCGUGGCGAAGGCGGCUUCCUGGACAUUAACUGACGCUGAGGCACGAAGGCCCGGGGAGCGAACCGGAUUAGAUACCCCGGUAGUC
rnacentral:rRNA from 1 species